rnacentral:rRNA from 4 species
CUAGUAACGGCGAGUGAAGCGGCAACAGCUCAAAUUUGAAAUCUGGCCUUAGGGUCCGAGUUGUAAUUUGUAGAGGAUGCUUUUGGCGCGGUGCCUUCCGAGUUCCCUGGAACGGGACGCCUUAGAGGGUGAGAGCCCCGUACGGUUGGACACCAAGCCUCUGUAAAGCUCCUUCGACGAGUCGAGUAGUUUGGGAAUGCUGCUCUAAAUGGGAGGUAAAUUUCUUCUAAAGCUAAAUAUUGGCCAGAGACCGAUAGCGCACAAGUAGAGUGAUCGAAAGAUGAAAAGCACUUUGAAAAGAGGGUUAAAUAGCACGUGAAAUUGUUGAAAGGGAAGCGUUUGCGACCAGACCUUUUCCUGGCGGAUCAUCCGGUGUUCUCACCGGUGCACUUCGCCAGGUCUAGGCCAGCAUCGGUUUCUGUAGGGGGAUAAAAGCUCUGGGAACGUAGCUCCUCCGGGAGUGUUAUAGCCCUCUGCAUAAUACCCUUGCGGGGACCGAGGACCGCG